UACGUAGGGUGCAAGCGUUGUCCGGAAUUAUUGGGCGUAAAGAGCUCGUAGGCGGUCUGUCGCGUCGGCUGUGAAAACCCGGGGCUCAACCCCGGGCCUGCAGUCGAUACGGGCAGACUAGAGUGCGGUAGGGGAGAUCGGAAUUCCUGGUGUAGCGGUGAAAUGCGCAGAUAUCAGGAGGAACACCGGUGGCGAAGGCGGAUCUCUGGGCCAUUACUGACGCUGAGGAGCGAAAGCGUGGGGAGCGAACAGG
rnacentral:rRNA from 1 species